rnacentral:rRNA from 1 species
UACGGAGGGGGCUAGCGUUGUUCGGAAUUACUGGGCGUAAAGCGCACGUAGGCGGCUUUGUAAGUUAGAGGUGAAAGCCCGGGGCUCAACUCCGGAAUUGCCUUUAAGACUGCAUCGCUAGAAUUGUGGAGAGGUAAGUGGAAUUCCGAGUGUAGAGGUGAAAUUCGUAGAUAUUCGGAAGAACACCAAUGGCGAAGGCGACUUCCUGGCCUGUUCUUGACGCUGAGGCGCGAAAGCUAGGGGAGCAAACGGG